ACAGCGAGUUGAUGCCAGAGUUCCUGAACCGAUUCCCUGGGUUCUGGAGUCUAUUCUUUGACUUUUCUUCUCACUGACAUCGUUCCCCUUCCAAAGUGUUGAGAACCGGACCCAGGGCCUUGCACAUGCGUGGCAAGUGAUCUACCCCUGAACCACGUGCUCAGCUCUAAUUUAUUUUACUUUUUAGGAUAUUUUCUCCAAUUGGUCUGUCAAUCCCUUUCUGAGAACUUGGAGUUUUUUUUUUUUUUUUUUUUUUGGAUGAAAAUGCAUGAUUAUAUUCUAACCUUAAAAUUACAAGAGAGACUGUAGGUGGAAGUUUCCAGUGACUCAUUCGAAAGGCAGCUGAACAGCUGUUCCCCUCCAUGGUAGGGAGGUUGGGUUCCACAGAGGUAAGACUUGGGCUGAAAAGCAGGGGAAUUUUGUGAAUGUUUGCAUAUUGGAUAUUGGAUAACAGAAGCACCAGCUCUCCAGCAGCCUGUGCCCAUCUAGGCGGAUAGAUAUUCCAGGGAGGACCUGACUGAGUCCUUUGCUAGGGAAUAGAACACUGGUCAUCAGGUCAUGAAUUUUUGGAGUAAGAUUCUCCAGGGUGGGAACAUCCUGAUUUCCUGUUUAGACAUAACCCCCGCUGCUAACGUUUUAAGAGCUAAGGGGAGGCAUAGGAUUAUCUCCUGUGUUUUUACUUUAUUUCUCUGUUUUCAGUUACUCUCCACUGUGCUUGGCGUCUCAGUCCGGGGGACAUUGUGUUUUACCUUUUCUAGAAAACGUCACGCCUUUGUUCAUCUGCUGGGGUAGAGGAACGAAAGUCAUCCAGCUGAGCUAAGGGAGGGUCAGUUUCUACCAGUCACCUUUCUCUCGGGAAUGAGUCACAUUUUCCUGAUCUGGUGAUCUUGAAUAAAUUUCAGUUGUGUUCUGGAUAUUGGGAAUGUUCUGCCGCACAUGACUGGGAAGCAUUGUAAGUAUUGUUCAUUAUUAGUUUUUGCGACUUUUUUUUUUGGACAGAGUCUCUGUCUAGAAUUCAUGGUGUACCAGAAGCUGGCCUUGAGCUUGUGGCAAUCCUCCUGCAUCGGCGCUCAGAUCACAGGCAUGAGUCUCCGCACCCGUUUAUUGUAGACAACAGAUAAGGAUGAAGUCAAGCUGUAAACUCCGAUUUGGGGACUCAGCUCAAAUUUCCGUUUAGUUCUCGCUCACGAGGCUUGGCUGUUUGCUCUUUAUUCUGUGCACAUACAUGUAGCCAUCGGGGCAGGGUCUAUAAUUUGUAGUCCCCCCUCUCUGGCUCUUUCCUUCGCAAUACACCACUUAUUUUUCCAGUGGGUGGUUCUCAAAGCCCGAAGGAUUUGAUUUCCAGUUUUCUCCGGGAGUUUCAGGCACACCACCCUGGCCAUUUCCUCGGGUUUAAGAAACAAAACAGGCAAAAAGGGAGAAAUACUCUGCCAACCUUCUUCUAAGGAUCCCCGACGCCCCAGAAAAAUCCACUUCUGUUCACUUGCCAGUAGCUUACUUAAAAAAUAGUGUCAAAAGAUUACGACGGCUGUGUGGGGGCGGGGCGAGCCCAGCGGGGCUCCCUCUCUCCUACCAGACCGGGGCUCUUCCUAACGACCUUUUCAACAGUUCCGUCAUGCUUUUCAGUCAUUGACUUCACAUCUAAAGCACCACAGUGCCCAUAGCUUCUGAGCCCCUUUGAGGUCAUGUGGUACAACGGACCGCUGUCGCUGCUACAGCGUUCUUACCGAAGAAUUUUCAGUGAGCAUAAAUAACAUGUCACUAAGUGGGAGGCGAUGGAGGCUGGUGUCAUGGAACUGUCUGUGGCUCUGCUGCUUGGUUUCAGAGUGGCAGAGGUGAAGUUCCUUCUGCUUGUGUAGAUGCUGCUGGGGAGCACAUGAAUGCUGGAAAUCCUUCACCAAGUGUUGCUCAAUGUCCUGGGAAGACGGUCGGCUGGCAUCUGGAGGCUCACCCUUGAGGGGCAUUGCUGUAUACUGGGGCACAUGGGACUGGAUAUUAAUUAUGAGGCCCCCAGAAGGGCAAGAGGAGGAUGGAAGAUGAACUGGAUGUGAUAGGAGAAUGGUAAAAAGAAUAAGGCCAGUCCACUUAGAGAGCAUGAAGAAUGGGGUCAGACUGGUAGCUUACUAGGCCUCUGGACCAUGUGUCAUCAUUUCCUCAGAUAAAAAACAUAAGCUUUUAGCCCUACCUCCAAGUCUACUGUAUCCAAAACUGAACAUGGAGCCCAACGAUUUCUACUCCAACAAGGCCUACCAAUGGAUGAUGCAGAUAAAGACAGAAAUUUGAGAAGCAUGAGUCAGAGAAUCCCUGAAGGAGGUACCAAGGAUCUGCAGAACUCGGAAUGCUGUGAGGGAAGAUAUGACUUUGGGAACAUAGCCAGACAUGGGGGAGAACUAAAUAUAUAUAUAAAGGAUGCGUUUCUGCUCCACACAAAGUCCAUACAAAGCCAGAAUGUGAGUCAGAAUUAUAACAGGUCAAAGCUGCUAGAGUUCCCGAUAGCACCUGCCUAUCCCCAAGACUUAGGGUGCAUCUUAGCCAACAAAGGCAAAGAACAAGUAACGAUGUGAAUCAGCCUGAGAAAUCGGACAGAGGGAAGUCACUCUGCUGAGAUCCACGUGCAGGCCCCAGUGUUCACUUCUCACUCCAUUCUAGCGGACUGGUUUGUCUGCUGACCCUCAAAGCAGUUUGCUGACGUCCUAAUCAGUUAAUGUGGCCUUAAUCAGAAAGAGGGGCCAUUGCAAAUAUAGUCAAGAGCAAUACCAGAUGAGAUCAUUCCAGAUUAUUCAGGUGAACCCCACAUAGACUGACAGUCAUCCAUCUCAGACAGAAGGUAACGUGGGGGCAGCACCAGAGCCUGAAGUCACACAGCCGUAGUCUACAGAGAAUAGAGGCCAUCAGAAAUUGGAGGAGACAAGGAAGGCAUCUUCCUUUGAACCUUCAGGGAAGCCAUGGCUCAGUUGCCUUCUUUGAGCUUGGACUUUUGACCUCUAGAACUAGGAAAGAAUAAAUUUUCCUUGCUUUCAGCCACCAGAUUUGUGGCCACUUGUUAUGGAAGCUCGAAGAAAUGAACACACUUGACUUAGGAGGAAAGGCCAAGGGAUUUGGAGUUCAACCGCACAAAGUCUUAAGCUGUUUGAAUUUUAUUUCUUGGAUGAAUUUCAAACUCUGAGUCACAAGAGUCCCCCUCUGGCUUGAGUCAUUUAUUACUUUAUCUGCCUUCCGUGAGCAUCACGGUUUGGUCCUCUGGGUGAGAUGAUUCUCUAAGUUACCUCAAGCUUUGCCAUCCUGGUGUUCUGAUAGAGACGAGGCUGGUAGGCUAUUAGUCCAAAUCUUUGAGGGCAUCUUUGGAGAUGAUGCAAUCUGCCAUCCUUUAAACAGGGUGUCCUUUAAACAUUUACCAUGGAGGAUGGAGAAAAUUUCAUCCUGAGCUGCAGCAUGAUGCCGUCGUCAGAGCUGUGCACUCCAGUGUUUUGCUGUUUUGUGUUUUUCUUCCUUAAACAGAGACAUGAAAAUAAUGGCACACUGGCUGGAUUUCCUUUCCUCAUUCUUCAUAGAGGGUGGGAGGAUAUGACUCUGGAAAAUUAACGUUGAAUGAUUGUGAGGAAGAAGGAGACCUCCCCGCAAAGAGCCACCUAACCAAGCCCACAGUGGGGAUGCCAUCUCAUUGGGUCACCACCAUCUGCACGUGAGGCAUGGAUGACGGUGUGGAACUGCCUUCAAGUUUUGCACCAGGACCAAAACAGAACAGCCUCUGAACUUGGCCUGUCUCCAAGGCUGCAUGUUCUUCAAGGAAGUCCCCAGUGCUAGCCACUGUGGCGGAGAAGUCUAUGUGAGAUGCAUCAGCACUCACUCUGUCCAAGGGGACUCAUUUCUAGAGAAUCAAUAAGCGCCCAGUUAACUAUGUGUAUGCUGCGGCUGAUGUUCCUAAUAAGAUCCCAAGCAUUCCCUUUCCCCUGGGCAGAAGCCUCCAGAUUCCAUUUCCCAGUGCUGGCAGGUGUGCUGGGUCCCAUCGUUCAGUGUUUCCCCACUUCUCUGACUAGGGGCAGAGGGAUCAGUGGUGGCCUAAGUGUGUUGUAUGUGUGUGAUGGUCAGCUUUUCAUGACUGUAAUGAACUCCUGAGGCAGUCAGCUUACAUAGAGAAAAGGUUCCUUUGGCUCAUAAUUUUACAAGUUUCAAUCUGUGACCCAUGGACCCUGUGACAGAGCACAAUGGUGGGAGGGGGUGACAAGACAGUUCACCUCAUGCUUGGGACACAAGGGAGAGAAGGAAAAAGAUCUGAGACGCCAGCAUCCUCAUCUAGGGCUCUCCUUUAGUGACUUAAAGAUGCCCCCUACUGGGUGCCACCAGCUUCUAAUAGGGCCAAGCCAAUGGACCUUAGGGGAACACUGAAGAACCAAGCUACACCAGUGUGCACAUGCACCCUGUGGCUCUGCAGCUGGGGUGAGGAGAGGUGACUCCAACUAGGGCAAGGCCCAGGUGUGAGAGACAGAGUUUGUCUUUGGUAGCCUCUCGCUACCUCCCUACCACAGAAAUCCAGUUUCCAUCCACUUUUGCUUCUCCAGGACACCCAGACUUCACACUUUCCUCUUCUUGCCUAUCGUCUCUAUCAAAGCACAUCUGUUUAAAGCACUCUGACCCUAGUGCUUUAAAGUUUGUACUUG